GCGGAGCUGCUGCUUGAAAAGGUGCAUCUGCUUCCUACCUGGUUCCUGGCCCGGUUUGAUUUGAGCGUGUGGCAGCGCCUUCCCCAAAGCCACCCUUAGCCCCCGCUACAGGCUGUACGUGUGAUGCGGGUCACUGGUGAACGGUGCAAUGAAUGUGGACCCACCACACCGCAAAGUAAGACGGGACUCAAGUGUGAAGUAAUUAUCAAACAAUUUUGGAAAUCCUAAUGGUGAUGGAUCAGUGAGCGAGACCUGAGAAAUGCUCUGGUUCUGGAAAAAUGAAAGUAAGCAAGAGUCCUAAGCUGAGGAGGUUUAUGUGCAAUUAACUUCAUUCACUGGAACAACUUUCCUUUGUUCUUCUGAUUAGACCGUUUCUCCAAAUCACUUCUGAGCCUGAACUGACCUCCAACAUAGAUUAAACCUAAGCAGCGGAGACCUGCACUGGAAGCUUCUAUUGGUAUAACUUUUGAUAGCUGCCAACAGUGCACAACUGGCUGUGUUUACUAGUGAUACCCAGGAGAGUCACAUUGAGAAGAGGCAGUGAAGCCUGGACAAGUAUCCCAUUGUCUCUUCACUGCUACCAGUUGUCUGCGUACCACUGAUGGUACCCGUACCACAGAUUGGGAGCUGAUGAUCUAGCACAUGAACAAUGGUGGAGUUGCAAUGCCAGUAGUGAUUCUGAGGGGCCCAGUCUACCAGGCUAUGAAAUCAUUCUCUCGACACUGAACAACAGCAAGGAGCAACUUAAGCAGGGGCUGGAUGAAAUGCUGUUGGCAGGAGGAGGAGGAUAAGGGCAAAGCUUUUGAUUUUGAAGAACCAGACAGACAAGCAAUAACAAGAGUCCCUAGAGACACUAUAUGACUGGGGAAAGCCUCACAAUCCCCCUGAAGAGUGCCAUAGUAGUGCAGCAUACUGUACUCAUAACCUUCUCUGUAGACUUGGAUAGAUAUAGAUUGUAAAGGUGCAGAAACUCUCCCCUGAUAUGUUCUCAUGCUUCCAAGUGCUCAGGCAUCAUGGAAGAGGAAACAGCUCAAGUUAAAAGCAAAUUGUUAAUAAGUAGGGUGGGGAACAGAGCCAGAGAUUAAAGGGAGAAGUGUGGAAGGUAGUACUAGGGGAGGGAUUAGAGGACAGGGAUAAUGCAGUAUGCAUUGCCAAACUUACUAGAAAUAGUAAGGCAAAAAAAGGUUGAUACAUCACCAGACAAAAUCCUAAAGAAGACAUUUGUUCAGGGUGGCUUGAUGUCACCCUACACACCAUAUCCAGUACACUUGUUACAUCAUCUGGAAUAGAUGGUUAGUUUUCAACAACCGCUCUUUUGCCAGGCCAUUUUUAAAUCUGCUUAGAUUAUUUACCUGUACUUUUGUUGGUUUAGUUUUUAAUAUGCUGAUAAAGGUCCUCUAGAAUGACUCUCUUCCUUUUGCCUUAGGGCUGCCCAAACAAGACUUGUUUGGGGAGCCUGUUAUCCAGGAAUCUCAGAAUGUGGCCAAGGCAAGUUUCCCUGCUCACUUGUACCAGUGAGUGCGAUUUGUCAGGGGUUUUUCUUCUGGUUAUGACAUAUCACCCCUCCCUUGAACCUGUACGGAAAAUCCUCAAACAAUUGCAACCCAUACUAGACAGAGACCCUAUUCUUAAAAAGAUCUUCCCAGAGCCACCCAUCCUAGCCUUCAAACACACACCGAACCUCGCUAACUUCAUCACCAGAAGCAAACUUCCUCAAGCCCAGAACACCAAAAGGAUCCAGACCGUGCCAUGACAAGAAAUGCAAAACCUGCCAACACAUCACCACCCCCCCCACAAUUACUACACCCUACAACAGAGCCAUCAGCAUUCCUGGAUCUUACAGCUGCACCUCCAGAAAUGUAAUAUACCUCAUCCAAUGCACCAAAUGCCCUGAUGGAAAAUACGCAGGAGAGACCAAACAACAACUGCGCACCAGAAUGAAUGCACACUGGAAAUCUGUCAAAGACAGAAAUACCCAAUUACCGGUGGGGGCACAUUUCUCACAAGAAAACCACUCUCUCUCCAAUCUCUCAGUCCUGAUCCUCAAAGGAAACCUACAAAACACUUCCCAGAGAUGAGCCUAUGAACUCCACUUCAUCAACCUCCUGGAUACUAAAAAUCGUGGACUAAAUAUAGACAUUGGAUUUAUAACACAUUAUAACUGCCUGACAUCUGACUCCCCAGGUAUCUCUCCACUUUCAUCCCCCUUCUCUCCCCCCCCUGGCCUGUCUCUCACCCAUUGACUCCUCAGUCUACAUGACUACCUGUCUUGUAUGCACACCAGCCCAGCCGCUGGUUGCUUUACUUUUCAUUCCAUCCAGGAAGAGCACGCACCAACUGCUGAAACGUCCUUAGCCUGACAAAGGGUUUUUGAACCCAAAAGCUUGCUUAAUAAUUAUUUUCCAACUAUUUAGGUUGGUCUAAUAAAAGAUAUCAGAUUCACCCAAGGAACCUUGUCUGUCAUUAGACUCAAGGCAUUCAGCUCUUAGUUUUCACUUGAUUUUUAACUAUGGAAAAAUAGUAGAACGAUUUUUCUGGUGCAAAUAACUCAGAAAGACCAUGUAGGUCAGAAUAUUUUUGGGACUAUGGAUUUCUAUUUGAAAUCUCCAGAUUGAUCUUGUGAAUCAUGUGUAGGUGUUUGCAUAUAACAAUACUAUAUUUCACAGAACCUCAGGGCACCUGAAAAGGACUUCACUAUGCCCCAGGUCAUUAAUUAUAAAACCUAUUUGUUUAGCAGUAUUAAUUUGAUUAAGCCUUAGUUGGAGUUUGUUUAUCAAUGUGUUCAGUGAACAGGUAUUAUCAGGAAAAUCCUUAUUUUUAAGCACUCUACCCACAGUAUUGAGUUUCCAUGACAGUCUAUUGCAUAACAGAAUCAAUGCUGACACCAAAGGUACUAUCCUCACUGAUUCCAGCAAUAACAUCAAACCAGUUUGUUAAUGCCUGGCUAGAAAUCACAAUACCUCUGACAUCUUAAAAGAGAAUUUGGAAGAACUAGAUCAUUUUGCAAGGAAAUGUGUAGGUUUUCAGUAUCUGCCACCAAUACUUUCUAUCAAUGCUGUCAAAGAAGAAAGAGCUUUUUUUGGUGAUAUCUUAUAUUGGCCAACCUGUAUAGCUGGGAAAAAUAUUAGGCACAGAAAAUACUGAAAUCCACUGUCUACCGUGGAAAAUCCAUAACAUGAAUAAAAAGGAAGCCAGGCCACACAGAAACAUCUACAUCCUAAGCUUGUGCAAGAAAUAACAUCAUCUCCAUGUUAUGCAACCAUCUGGCUAAGACACAGGCUGAACCAAACAACACAACUAUGCAGAAGGACCCCAUAAAAACUGAGAAGCCACCUUCUUCAAUUUUAAUAUCUCUCCCAACUAUACAGUUGGUCCAAUAAAUGAUGUAAUAAAAAACCCUACUUGCAUAUUUCCUGGACCAUCACAGAUAUAGCAGCACCCCAAUGUUAUGUAUAUUGUCACGGGCGUUUAGAAAAGCAGUUUAAAUUUAAAAUGAGUGAUAGCUGCCACUCAUGGUUUUAUUCAAUAAUGCUGUGUUGUGAAGGUACCAGCCCAUUACUGUCAGACUAUGUUCAGUUAUAGUGCUACAAUUGCUCCUUAACAGAGUGACAUCAAGGUCUCCUAUCUCAGUGGCAGAGACAAAGGUAUCCUUUCAAAUAAUGUAAUGGAUCAACUAAUAUCUUCUGGAAAAUUCUAUUGAGAAUAUCUUCGAGGACAAGCGGACCUUUUGUAUAAAGACCACCAGAAGAUUCCAUAAAGGAGUAGGCUUGUCCAUGCUGAGUCUGUAAACCAAAGCAAAUGAACUCUGCUAAGCCAACAACAUCAUCUUUACCUUCAGCCAAGCAUUGCACAAGAGCAGUUUGUUUUGGACUUGAUUAGUUGGACUUGAAAACCAAAGCACAGUCUCUUGUAGUGUUUGCAUUACAGGUUAAUUGAUGAGUUCAUACAAAUCAUGCAAAUUAGGUUUUCUCACUGACCUGACACUGGAUUACUUGCAGGGGUUAUUUUAAAUUUACUACAUACAUUGAUGUUAUGUUCAGGUAUCAGUUUAAAUCUAUAUCUGUCUGUUUGCAAUGAACUGAUUUAUAUUAGCAUUUUCUUGUUGCGGAAGUUCUGUCUUGCAGCCAAAACAUGAUGACUACUAGUGAUUCUAAUAGUCUCUUAUUUUACUGCUAGUACCUGUUUCUUAAGAAACAAAACCAAAUAAGGUGCUCCUUAAAGUCAGCUCCUUUAUCUUCCAGUUCCAUGCACAUAGCCAGAAUUUUGAGGGAGGAAGAGGGCAGGAGGCUUGGAGUCUCUCAAAGCAAAAUAGAAAUAAAUAUGGCUUGUACACCUAUAAAAGCUUCCUUUCCUUUCUAUUCCUGGUCCUAGUUCCAGCCUUGUAGGGGUCUGGCUCAGGCCCAUCUGUGUGUGGAAAGGCUCCUGGAUCUCUGUGGGAUUUAUACUCUUUUCCAUGUGUGCCUCCUCAGCAAGCUCUGAAAUGGACUCUGAAAAUGGUUCUUUCCUCCAGGCCUCUUGAAAUGUCCACUGUCACUUAUGAAAAGAUGGUGGCCCCCCACUAAGCAUACCAUAUUCAUCAUAGAAGCAGUAGCAUAACGAGGGUGGAGGAGCAGGGCACCUGCCCAGAAGCCUAAUUAGACAGGGCACCAUAAUUGUUCCCCUGGGAGCCUUUGCUAUGACAGGCCGAGCCCUGUGGUGCCCAGCCAUAGAAGCCUGGCAGCCCUGCACUGUGUAGUGUAUGGGGGUGCAGUGAGGCUGCUGCAGCUGAGGGACAGACUUGUUACAUGUUGGCUGUACCAGCCCCAUGGCACAAGCUCCCAGUGGCUGUCCCAGGUGCCCUGCUCACUUCCUUACCUCCAGCACUCUACUAGGUGCCUCCCAUGGCAAAAAUCCCAGAGAGGAGUGCCAUUCAGCUCAACUCCCUCUGCCCCCCUCCCGACCAUACACUACUACAGUAUGCCAGGAUGGCUUUUAUGGCUGGAUAUUGCUAGGCUAUGCUGCUGUAGUAAAGGCUCCUGGGGGAUUGGGUGUCCCCUGCUGAGGGGACGGGGUAAGGGGUCAGCCUGAUUAUCAAGCAAAGCAGAAACCCCUGGAACCUGAGAGCUAGCAGAGGAAUCUUACCCUGCAGGCAGCAGGGAGAGGAUCUUUUGAAGGAGAGGGCUGCAGGAGACAGAGUGGUUGAUGCCUAAGUGUUCCUCUAGGGCUGCAUGGAGAAAGCCAUGGAGAGCUUAGGGUGUUUAGUGAGGCAAGGAGCCAAAAUGGGGUGACUUGCAGUUGGAAAAUGGUUUGCUUGUGUUUAUAUUUUGACACUGUUUAAAACCAGAGGAUUGAGUUGUGGAUGCAGGAGUGGAGGAGGCCGCAGGUGGGGUGCCUAAGAGGUAUUUUCUGUUACUGGGACUGAGACCCAGGAAGUUAGGGUCCAAAGACGGGGACCUGGACUGAAGGAGUCUAGCCAGAUAAAAAGGGCUGAAGCUGGACAGGUGGAAGUCCAGACAAAGGUUUGGAGCCUGGCAGCCCAGUGUUAAUUUGGACAUAGAGAUCUGCUAUGAAGAGACUACCAAGAGGCAUGGGCAGGACUAUGGGAUAGCCUAGGAGGUAUGCUUGAAGAGAUGGGCUAGGAAGAAAAGAGGCAUUCCCAUAAUAUAAGGGGUUCUUAAAGGUGGAGGCAGGCUGCUAGUCACUGUGGGCAUGUCAACAUGUGAAUUUACAUUCACCUAAACAAUGCACUUUAGUCUAAGGCGCAUUAAGUGGAUUUAUAGGUGUAUGCCUUUAGGUACCUUAACAUGGGUGAGCACAUUUGCAACUUGCCCUGGGCAGCACCCUGGACAGCCUCUCUGCACGCACAGCUGUGCCAGACCCUGCGGGUGACGUGCGGGUGCCACUCUGGGAAAGUGGCUGGGGCAGCAUGACCAAUGAGCAUGUUUCUGGCUGGGGAGCGCAGAGAAAGGUGCGGGGCAAGCUCAGGGGCUGCGGGGUCUGUCAGCAGCAUGUAUGAAGCCAGAGCUGCUAGAUCGCAGCCAGAAGUGGCUCCGCUCCAAGUGAGCAGAGGGUGCACCCAAGCCCCAAAGCCAUGUCUAGCAACUUGAGGCAGCUGCACCCAGCGCUGGGCCUGGCCAUGGGGUACCAAGCUGCCUGCCAGUUCCCUGAAGCCCACAGUAACAUAUCUGGGUGGUGCAGCACAGCUCUGGCCAAGGAAGUGGGAGCUCCAGUCCCUCCCAGACACAAUCAGCUCAGCCCCAGCUCUAACCCCUUCCCUGUGUUCCUGCCUCCCCAGCACUGGUCGAGAGUGGGCCAGAGCCAAGCCCGUAGAACCCUGCAUUGCUGCUGGGCAUUGCCAAAAAGAAGCAGCAGCAGCAGCAGGUGCCCCAGGUCAGUUAGCACACCAACAGGUACCACUGCUGCUGGAACUGCUGCUCCAGCUCGUGUCUGUGCCUUGGAGAACAGCACCCACUGCUGCUUCUUCUUGGCAGUGCCUGGCAGCAGCAUGGGGCCCUGGGGGCUCAGCUCUGGCCCACUGAAGUCGACAUACAGGCUUCCCUUGCUUUAUACAGGUUCUGUAUAUGUGAAUUCAGUCUUAUGCAGUGGCCCUUUUAUACCAAAAAUUCGUUAUAUGCGAGGUAAAUUUACUCUUAUGUGACCAGUGUGGUAGAAGCCCACAGUCAGCUGCUUUGUUUGGUGCAUUGUGACACGCACCAAAAUAUAGUCUCCUGUGUGGAUCUGUGCCAACUCCAUUAUGAUAGUGCCCUGUGCUUGUGUGUACUGUCUGCUGUUGGUGAGUACCAAAAUUGUCUUGUAAAAGAGGUAGAAAUGGGUCUGUGGGUCAAUACAGUCGAGGUCUUGGAAUGUAUUCCUAUUUGUUAUGUUGUUAAGUGGGUUCCCUUUAUGCAAAUUCAAGUUAUGUGCUGUUUUCCAGGAACACAUGUACAGCAUAAAUCUAGGGAAACCUGUGCACAGUGUUAAAGAGUCUUAAUGUUAUACACAUAGACAUUUUGCCUAUUGCUUUUAAUCUUAUGAAUUUUCUUGAGUUUUGCAUUGCUUUAAGAAACUCCAUUUUGUAUUGCUUUGUAGCUUGACAUAAGUGCUCGACCUUUGUAUGCUGUAUGUGUGAGAGAAUGGGUGAGAAUGUGUCUAUGGAAAAGGAAAACAUCAUCUGGUGACUGGUGAAGAAUGCAGACAGAUAAAAGACCAAAACAAGAAGAAUCCACCCCAGAACAGUGAGAGAACAACGGUAAUCGACCUUCAAGGAAGAACACAGUGAUAACAUAGCGAAAGCCCAUAAGGAUGAAUUGACAAAGCUAUAAAAGAUGGGCGAGACAUAUCAGUUUUGGGUCUUGUUCUUCAUGUCAUCCUGGAGCAUCGGUUUGACAGGAUGGACUGGCAGGAGCAUGCCUCCCUACUCAUGAUCAAUUUGGGUGGCCACUUAGUUGAUCUGAGUACUGAUAAGACUGGUAAUGUAUACCAGCACAGAACAGAAAUUGGGGUAUGAGUGUGUGUGUGCUUAAUCAAUAAAUGCGGUAUCUUGCCUUA